AAUAUUUGCUUUAUUUCCAGAUGGUCAGAAAUAUGCUAAUGAAAUAGGAGCUUUAUUUAUGGAAACUAGUGCAUUAACUUCUCAAAAUGUGAAAGAACUAUUUUAUACAAUGGUCAAUCGGAUGUCUGACAAAAUUCGAGAAACAAAUACUGAAGCUACUCCUUUGAUAAAACUAAAUCCAAAGC